AUCUUCUUCUUCAUCUUCUUUGUACUACACAAAUGACAAAGUUAUAUAUAAACAAAUUAACUUGAAAUUCCAUCUACUUCAAUAGCCACAACAAUAAAAGGUAUUUCCAUAUAGGUCCUUCAACUUCUACUUGUGUAUUGAAAUGUAGUGGCGGGUAAACCACUUCUUCUUUCGUAAAAAUUCAAAUAAAAUCGAGCUUGAAUGGAACUGAAUAAGAUUUGGUGAACGAAUACAAACCAAAUUGGAAAUAAGCAUAUAUGUGGAGUAAGAAUUUGUUUCCAUGACAAUGCUCUCUUUUCUGAUCCUUACACAAUGCAAUUAUCAAUUUCCAAGUGUUUGAUAUCUACGUAGGAGCCUGAUUAAAUUUGGAUUCGAAAAAGUCUGGAGUAAAGCGGUCUGUAACAAAGAUGACUAUGUAUUUAGGAGAUUCAAACUCAAAACCUUUGGUUAAUAAUAAAAGAAUACUUACUACUCCGCUCUAUAAAAUUCAAUGCUUUCUCAGACCGACCCACCCACCCACACACAUAAUAGUGGGCCCUACUUAUUUGGCCCACCAGUGAAAUGGAUUUUGGUAGCUCGGGUCCCAUGGCCCAUAAAAACCUAUUCUAAUUUUAGAACACCGGUGACUUUUGACUUUCAGCUCUCGUAAAAGUAGCAAAGUAUAAUAAAAAGAAAAAAAGAAAAAAGUAAUUAAUUUUUAUUCCUAAUUAAAUGUCUUAAAAGAAAGAUGUAUUUUUUUUAAUAUCUUAAAACUCUGUGUAUCAAUUAAAUAAGGAUAAUUUUGAAAGAAUAAAAUCACUUUCUUUUUAAAAUUUUUAAAACACUACUUUAUUUAAAAUAAAAUGAAAAAUCUAAAACAUCACUUAUUUUGAACUGAAACGAGAAACAUUAAUUAGGAUCUUAUAUAUACCUCGUGGACAAAACUGACAAAUGUGCAAGGCUUAAUAAUUACAUAUGUGCAUUCUUUAUCAUGUAGUUAGUGAGUAUUUAAGUAGAAAAGUAGGACAAAUUAAAGGACAUUUAAUUUACUUGCCUAAUCAAUUAAAUGUGGAUGGACCAUCCACCUAUGACCUAACUAAGGUUUUUUUUAAUUUUAUUUUUUACUUUUUAAGUGUGGCCAUAUAUAUGGACCACACAUAUAUAUAUAAUAAUGAUUAAUGAGUAGAUGGAUGAAAAAUAAUACUACAGGUAGAAUGAAAGAUCAUUAAUUAUAAGUUUGAGUACCAAAAGUUACUACAGUGAGACUUACCAUUUUGAUAAUCAUGUUGAAAUGAGGGUUUAGAAGUCUUUUGUCCGGGAGAUAUAGCUCCUCAGCGAAUACAUAAAGAGAUCUUGUGAUUUGAUCUGUAGUUCUGUACUAGAGACGGGAAGAAUCAGGAAUACUCCAUAGCUUAUAAUUUGACAUGUUCAUGCAAUAAAACGAUUUAAAAGUAGUGAGAUCAGGGAAAGAGAUUGGAGCAUUAAUUCAUAAUAUCGAAGGGUGUUAUAUUUGUUGGUUUGAACAAUCAAAAUAUUACUUACUCAUUGGUGCUAUAUAUGUUCGUUAUGAUGUCACUCUAUUUGUGCUAAUUGUUUCCUUUCUCACUUCAAAGGUCAUUGUCAAUAUCUUAUUAUUCCAUAUAUAUUAUAAAUAACAUCAAUCAAAUCAAUGAUAUAACAAUAUAUUUCCAAGUCACAAAAUAGUUCAAGUAAAGUACAUGAAUCUUGUAUAUUUCGUACUAUAUAUAUGUAUAUUAAGGCCUACUAGUAAGUAGGUACAUUUGUAAAGCUUAACAACUCCUAAUUAAUAGGGAGCUUAGAACUUUAGGUUGAUCCAAGGGGAUUAAGCGGCUUAUUAUUGCUUUGGUAUGCCCCUAAUGGAGGGCGGGUUGAAGAUCAUGAGCAUAACUGAUAUGUUUUUAGGGUGACAAACUUCUAAAGAUAAGUAGGUGUACAUGACAUCUUAUGUGAAUCCCACGUUAGAAGGAGAGAAGAAAAUGAAGGAUUUUAUAAGAUAUAACAUAAAUUCAUGUGAUGUAUAUGCGUGCAUGAUUCCCUAUGUUUUAAUUAUCUUCUUCAUUUCUCCUUAAUUCCCCUACCCCCUAUGUAUUAAUUCAAUUUAUUUUUUUUGAAAAAAAUGUAUUAAUGUAACCACAAUUUGGCUACAUCUUUUCCUUUUAA